rnacentral:rRNA from 1 species
CUUGGUCAUUUAGAGGAAGUAAAAGUCGUAACAAGGUCUCCGUUGGUGAACCAGCGGAGGGAUCAUUACCGAGUUAUACAACUCCCAAACCCACUGUGAACCUUACCUCUACGUUGCUUCGGCGGGACCGCCCCGGGCCACCCGUGCCCGGAACCAGGCGCCCGCCGGAGACCCCAAAACUCUCAUGUUUACCAUAGCGGAAUUUCUUCUGAGUGGCCCUUUGCGGCAAACAAAUGAAUCAAAACUUUCAACAACGGAUCUCUUGGUUCUGGCAUCGAUGAAGAACGCAGCGAAAUGCGAUAAGUAAUGUGAAUUGCAGAAUUCAGUGAAUCAUCGAAUCUUUGAACGCACAUUGCGCCCGCCAGUAUUCUGGCGGGCAUGCCUGUUCGAGCGUCAUUUCAACCCUCGAGCCCCCCCGGGGGCCCGGUGUUGGGGGACGGCCCCGCCCCUCUCAGUGGGUGGUCGGCCGCCCCCCGAAAAUGCAAUGCGACCCCGCCGCAGCCUCCCCUGCGUAGUAGCUAUCAUUGAAACCUCGCACCGGAGCGCGGCGCGGCUCUGCCGUUAAACCCCAACUCUUUGAAAGGUUGACCUCGGAUCAGGUAGGAAUACCCGCUGAACUUAAGCAUAUCAAUAAGCGGAGGAAAAGAAACCAACAGGGAUUGCCCCAGUAACGGCGAGUGAAGCGGCAACAGCUCAAAUUUGAAAUCUGGCCCCUCGGGCCCGAGUUGUAAUUUGUAGAGGAUGCUUUUGGCAAGGUGCCGCCCGAGUUCCCUGGAACGGGACGCCACAGAGGGUGAGAGCCCCGUCUGGCUGGCCGCCGAGCCUCUGUAAAGCUCCUUCGACGAGUCGAGUAGUUUGGGAAUGCUGCUCAAAAUGGGAGGUAUAUGUCUUCUAAAGCUAAAUAUUGGCCAGAGACCGAUAGCGCACAAGUAGAGUGAUCGAAAGAUGAAAAGCACUUUGAAAAGAGGGUUAAACAGUACGUGAAAUUGUUGAAAGGGAAGCGCUCAUGACCAGACUUGGGCUUGGCGGAUCAUCCGGCGUUCUCGCCGGUGCACUUCGCCUCGCCCAGGCCAGCAUCAGUUCGCGCCGGGGGACAAAAGCUUCGGGAAUGUGGCUCCUCCGGGAGUGUUAUAGCCCGUUGCAUAAUACCCUGGUGCGGACUGAGGUCCGCGCAUCUGCAAGGAUGCUGGCGUAAUGGUCAUCAGCGACCCGUCUUGAAACACGGACC